AACCAUCAGCGGGAACGCCUACCGAACUCUCCGGACGCUGACGACAUGCAGUUUCAAAAGUCGGGACAUUUUCACACAUUUACAGUAUUAUUGGUGGUUGACAAACGGAGAGAGAAUAUGGUUAACGCUUUUGUUUUGUUCUGUUUUUGCUUGUGUCGUCUGGCUGAUGUGGCCGAUGCAGUGAAGACAAUAUCAGUGAACGAGGGAGUUUCUGUCACUCUAAACCCUGAUGUAACUGAAGUACAGAAAUAUUUGUUGAUACAGUGGACGUUUGAAAGCAAAAGAAUAGCUGAAUUUAACAGGCUCACGCACACCAUCUCAACCUAUGAUACUGCUGAUAGGAGAUUCAGAGACAGACUGAAACUGGAUCAGACUGGAUCUCUGACCAUCACAAACACCAGAACCACAGACUCUGGACUUUAUCUACUUACAAUUGUCGGUGAAGAGACCAAAUACAAGCGCUUCAAUGUUACUGUCAAUGAAUCUCCACAGACUACAUCAUCAACGGAAAGAUCAUCAAGUUCGAAUUGUGUGACGUCCAGCUUUGUGGUAAAUCAAACUGAGAAUAACAACAAUACUGAACUCCAUCAACCAAGUUCAGACAUUCACUGUUGUGGUUUCACUGAAGCUGUGAUUCGAUUGGUUCUCUCUGCUCUGGUGGUCGUGGCUACUGUUGCUGUGUUGGUUUAUGACAUCAGAUCUACAAGAAGUGAGCUGAUCAAUACAGAAGAGACUAAACAUUACCAUCAGACUCUUGAGAAAUCAGACCAACAGUGUGAAUUGAGCAGAAGGUUUAGUUCCAGAUAUGUUGAGAUAUAAAGCAGACUAUACAUCAAUGCUUUGCACCUUUCCUGUUCCUUGCACAGCUAUUUAUUAACAUAUUGUUUUUGCAUUCAUUUGCCAUUUAUUGAUUGAUGAUCUAUUAAAUUUAAUAUAUGACUCUAAACAUAAGACAAAACUAAACAAAAUAAUAAUUAGUAACACAAAUGAUGGCGUAAAAACAUAAGCUCUCAGUUCUGCUGUAUCCUAUAAAUGAAUCUCACAGAAGCGAUUGGUGCACAUUUUUGACUUUAUUUAAUAAAGAUAUGGUUUUACAAUA